rnacentral:rRNA from 1 species
CCCAAAACUCCAAGGACUUGACGGUGCCUCACACAACCUAGAGGAGCCUGUCCUAUAAUCGAUACCCCACGCUACACCCGACCCCCCCUAGCAAAACACAGCCUAUAUACCGCCGUCGUCAGUUAGCCUAAUGAUAGCCACAUAUAGCAAACAAAACAUUUUCAAUCACUAACACGCCAGGUCAAGGUGUAGCAAAUGGGGGGGCAGAGAUGGGCUACAUUCUCCAACCCCGAGCACACCAACAGCAACAUGAAACCACGCGCCAAAAGGUGGAUUUAGCAGUAAACCAAGCAAGCUAUGCCUGACUGAAGACAGCCCUGAGACGCGUACACACCGCCCGUCACCCUCAUCACCAGCAACAAGAACAAAACUAACCUUAAACCAAAAUUAUGCCACCAGAUGAGACAAG